rnacentral:lncRNA from 10 species
GGAACCUGCCUGAGGUUUCUCUGGUCUUGGAGAGGGUAUCCUUUCCUGGGAGAAGGAGCUUACUGAGAAAAGGACUUUCUGAUCCCUAAGGUGGAGGGACUGGGGCUGUGAGCAUCUCAUUCCUCAGCCAUUUGAAAAUAGGAUGGUGUGGGCUGGAGAGAAGGACAACGGACUUUGUCUAACAAUACCAACAUUCCCCAGACUUUUUUUUUUUUUUUGGUGACAGGGUCUCCCUCUGCUGCCCAGGCUGGAGUGCAGUGGUGCAAUUGUGUGAUCAUAGCUCACUGCAGCCUUAACCUCCUUGGCUCAAGAAAUCCUCCUGCUUCAGCUUCCCAAGUAGCUAGGACUACAGGCAUGUGUUGCCCUGCCCAGAUAAUUUUUUAAAAUAUUUUUUGUAGAGAUGGGAUCUCACUGUGUUGCCCAGGCUGAUCUCCAACUCCUGGCCUCAGGUGAUCCUCCCACCUUGACUUCCCAGAGUACUGAAAUUAUAGGUGCAAGCCAGCACACCUGACCCUGGACUCUUACUUAGUACCAGCCAGUGCUCUAAGAGAUUUACUUGGAUUAACUCAUUUAAUCCUCAAAAUAAAACCAUGAGGUAUUGACUCAACUGGCUUUGUAUGCUGGGCACCACUUUGCAAACAGCUUACAGGAUGGACUGCAGUCCUCACAACGAUCUUCAAAGAGUGAUUCUGCCCCAUGCCAAACCCUUUCGCGAUGAUUGUCUCAUGUGACGCUUACAAUUCUGGGAGCCAGGCAGGACAGAUAGAGUGAUCAUCUCCAUUUUAUGGAUGAGGAAAUUGAUCCCCAAGAGUUGAAGUGACUUGCCCAAGGACAUGGUGAGUAAGGAGUCUGGACUUCCCGCAGGUUUGCUUGACUCUGAACUCCAGGUUCUGUCCAUGGCCCUGAGCUGCCAUUCCCCUGAGCUCCACACCCCACACCCCUCACCCCUCCAGAAGGAGCUAAGGGCAGAUUCUCCUCCCUUAUCCUCCAAGAAGUCAGGGGCUUCUUGCUCUGUUUGAAAUAAAAAGCAACUGCGUCUGCGCACCAGUGGCAGAGACGGACUUUGUACAAGCAUCGGGGUGAAAUGAACAUUCUUCAGGCAUGAGAUGUUACCUCUCCCCAUGUCUGGGUUAGGGUCCCCGCUUCAUGCUCUCACAACUCCUGAAUUUUGGCACCAUAACCCCAUCACACUGUACUGGAUUGGCUAGCAGGCUGGCUUACCAAUAGCCUAGAAUUUCCUUGACACGUCAAGAAAAAUCUCCCUGGUGCCCACUGGUCAAGCAUUUAGACUGUCCCCACCCACCUGCGUUCUGCAACAAGACCCCCUCUCCUGCAGGUGGCCUGCUCCCCCUGUACCUACCCAUCAGGUGAUGCCAGCCACCAAUGUGUCAGGAUAACCACACGGGCUUUCUUGGAGGCAGCAGUUUCAGUGAGGCAUUU